rnacentral:lncRNA from 1 species
UGGACAUCACCUAAGGAGGCGCCAUGUGUACCUGUGAAGAAUUCAUAACCAAGUGUUUCUUCUGUUACAAUUGAUAGUUCAAAGUGCCGAAGGCUCACGCACUGCCGAUGGUGCUUUGAGAAACACAAUUGAUUAUUGGUUUUUCACGGGUCCUUUCGUGGGUCCGUUUUUCACGUGUCGUCUUCUGAUUUGCCGGUCAUAUAUGGUAUAAACAAGGUCAAUGAAAUUCAAUAUAAAAUUAAGGCAAAAUUGUAACAAUGGUCCCUGGACUAAGACCAAACUUUACUUUUCAUCCCUCAUAUUGCUAAAUUAUUACGGUGAUACUUUAAUUAUGCCUCCACUUUCAGAAAUCGUCAUUUCCGUCAUCUUAGUCAACUUUUGAGUUAUUUCUUUCAUGUGUUGGAUUGAACAGAGACAGCCAUAUCAGCAUCUCAUAUGAUUUUAAUCCAGAUUUGUCUUUUUAAAUUGGAUUUUAAGGUCUGUUGGAUUUGGGGUAUGUUGGAGGAUUUGCCUUUUCAAAAUCCAUAUUUGUUCUCAUGUUUUCGUUUUCUUUAUUUUAUUGUUUGGUUUCCUUUUCAAUUCCCCUUUCAAGAUCUCAUGUGUUAGUAGAUGGGUGUGGGGGAGAGAAAGUAGGCAUUAGAUCCAAAACCCUCCAGAUAAACCCCGACUUGAUGGAAAAGAAUAAGGAAAAGGAAAUUGGCAUGGAAGAAAUCUGGGUGGAUUGAGAGAGAGAAGAUAUUUUUUUUAAAAAAAAAAAUUUGUGUGAGAAGAUAUUUUUGCCCAUGCCAAGUAGGACUUGUCCAUGCCACGUCAUCAUUUUUAACGGAAAAAGUGACUGAGAUGACGAAGAAGACGAUUCCUGAAAGAGAAGGCAUAAUUAAAGUACUACCAUAACAAUUUAGCAAUAUGAGUGACGAAAAGUAAAGUUUAUUUUUAAUCUAGGGACCAUUGCUACAAUUUAACCUGAAAUUAAAAACUUCAUAAAAGUCUAGCACUUAAUUUAAUUCUCCAAAAGUUAUCAUUUUUGCUUUGAAAAGUUUAUGAAGGCCUGCAUAGUUCCGCACAAGAGUACCACUUAAGUAAGCUCCACAAGAACUUAUAUAUCUAAAUCCACUAUAUUUCUUGCCAGUUUGGAAUAAUUUUGAAAGGACUAAAAGUGUUUUCUUACAACUAAUAGCGCUUCUAACAAAGUUUGUUAGAAAAUUUUAGAACUGUUUUUGAGUCAUAGAAGCGCUUUCUAGCACUCCUACAUAAAUUUCUCAUGAAAAUGUCAACAUCUAUAUAAUAAAAGCGUUUUUUAUAAAAGUUCUUCCUAAAAAUAUAGUCCAAAACGAGAUAGUUUAGAGCGGUGGAUGAUAAUGGUCAAGAAAUAUACACAUUUUUAACGUAGAAGCACCAACAUGAAAAGGAAAAAAAAAAAAAAAGACCACACAUGUUAGGAGGUACAAGACAAGGAUGAUGUGAAGGCAUCAUGCGGAGACAAGGAGCAAUUGCAACAUCUUUCAAGUAUUAAAUUGUUGCCAUACUUUUCUUAGCAAUGGUUUUUUUUGCUUACCAAAAAGAUGCAAACAAAAAAAGGAAAAAAAAAAAGAAGCUCCUAUUAAAUUACUUUUCUGUUGAAAAUGUUAUUAAUUUUAUAGAAAACAAAAUUCAUUAGUGUUAGAGUGUCGAAAUUGGAUCCUUCAUUUUACACAAUACUCUCUUACUCAUUGAAACUCAUUUUCCGUUUUGACAAAUUACUUUCGAAACUCAUGAAAGUUCGAAAAAAUUGUGUUUCAUGAACCACAUGUAGUCAUGAGGCUAUUAUUUUUUCAAUAGGACCCUCAUCUAAAUUAAAGAAAAAAGUAAACUCCACAAAAAUUUUGUGUAAAUCUAAAUUGAUUACUACUCAUAGUUUGAAGCCAUAGAUAACAAACAUAUUUGGAGGAACACACUACAAGGAUUGAUGUAAAAUCAUCAAAUGGAGACAAGGAGCAAUUCCCAACAUAUCUUUCAAGUAUUAAAUUGUUGUCAUACUAUUUUUAGCAAAUUUCUUUUUCUUCUCACUAAAACAAUGCAAAGAAAAUAAAAUAAGUGGAGUUAUUGGCGUGUGGUUAAUUUGACACUUGAUACGGUCAUGUGUUUGAGAGUCCGUAUACAAAUCAUUGACACGAGAGGAAAUGGUAAAGAAGGGGUUGCGUUUCUAUUUGACCUGAUUGUCCACUUCUAAUCUAUUCCCUAAUCUUGUUCUUUUUCAUGGAAAUUAAAGUAAAAAGUUGUCUUAAUACAAGGUGUAAGAUGUAAGUUACAAAAAUAGCUAUAUUAGUUAAAAGGACAAAAUAGUAAAAUAAGAGACUCAUUGUCCUUUUCUCCCUUCCCUAGCUGACACCAUUACUCAUUGUCCAUUCCUCCACCAUUCCACCAAAAUUUCAUUAGAAUUUGUGCUUUGAAACUUUAUAUCUUCAUCAUGCAUAUAUAUAUAUAUAUAUAUAUAUAUAUAUAUACAUUCACCAAAAUGGAAAUACCACUAAACCACAACAUCAUUGCUUCUGUGCUUAGUUUAAUGAGUUGUAACCUCAAUGAGUUUGGUUGGGUUUCCUCUUGAAAAAGAUGACAACACAUAUGUUUAAGCAAGUAAUCAUUUGUUCUAAAAUGUACCCAUAACACCAUUUAAAUCCUUUUAUAAGAUAUGAAAAACUGUCUAUAAGAGGGAUAUAGAAAGCUAAACAAAGAAAGAACAACUCAACAAGUUACGUGAAACUGAAAAUGAGAUGAGAAAAACUUGAUUUGCAACGGAGAUAAUACUGUUUUGUUAUCACUUAUGUCACAACGUUAUUAGACAGAAUUAGCAAAAUAGUGAUAUUCUUAUUUUAUUGAAGUCUUUCUCCUCAACGGAGCUCAAGUCCAAUUUAGAGGAAGAGAAAGAGGAGAAAGAAAGAAACUUAAGAAAGCUACAAGAUUAUAAUAAUCUUCCAGCUUCUCUAAUUAGUGGGCCUAUAGUUGUUGAAGUCCUUGAAACCAUUUCCUCAAACUCAGUGAGCUGGGUUGGUAUUAUGCUGUUUAAAUAUGGGACCUCAAAAAUCCAACUGAUCGGAGUCAAAGGGAGAAGAAAGAAGCAGUAAGAGGAAAGCUUUCUAUACAUUUUUUUCCCUCAAGUUCACUGCUGUUCACUAUUCAGAACAGCAACAACUAAUACCAAUAUUUUUUCUUUCUUUUAUAUUUCUUAACAUAAAAUCUGGUGCGGGAAAAAACAAAUAAACCUCUAAUUUACUUGUCCACCAAAAAAAAAAAAGACAAGCAUAUGAACUUCCAAAUUCCUCUGCUGAGCCUCAUAUACUGAAAAGAAAAGAAAUAAAAAUUGAAAAAGGAAAAGCCUCCUGCAUUUUAUUCCACAACAUUUGGCUGACACGGUUUUCAGAGCGCCUGGUCCAUCUACACAUGGUAGAGUUGGGAUUGCUUCUUUAAAAUAAAUAAUAAAAAAUUCAAAGAGUUACGGAUAAAAGUUAGAAAAGUUGGUCAUAGGAAUUUGUGAUUUGUUAUCUAGCAAACCGAAUAAAUUACAAUUUUCUUUAUAAAUGAUUUCAAUUACACAUUUAUAAAUAAAAAACUUUUGUUAAAGUUUGUUGAUGCACAAAAAUACUUGGAUAAUUUUGGGCUCAAUUUAGUGAUGAUGUUACUUUCAGUUUCGUGUGAGUUUCGGUAGAGUGAUCAAUCUGCAAGACAAAGAAUGCUCAAUAAACCCUUUGAUACUGGUGUGGUACCAGCUGAAGGCUUUCCAAUACUUAAAUUAGAAUAAGUAUGUUAUGAAUAGUGAUCUAGACAGAUUAAUGACAGUAUUGUCGAAUGUCGCAGUUACCUCCUUUUGGGACUUGUGCCCUUUCUUAUAAACUUCAGGAGGCUUGCAUCUUGAGUGGAAAUUUCAAGGUGGGACUCUGGACAUCACCUAAGGAGGCGCCAUGUGUACCUGUGAAGAAUUCAUAACCAAGUGUUUCUUCUGUUACAAUUGAUAGUUCAAAGUGCCGAAGGCUCACGCACUGCCGAUGGUGCUUUGAGAAACACAAUUGAUUAUUGGUUUUUCACGGGUCCUUUCGUGGGUCCGUUUUCCACGUGUCGUCUUCUGAUUUGCCGGUCAUAUAUGGUAUAAACAAGGUCAAUGAAAUUCAAUAUAAAAUUAAGGCAAAAUUGUAACAAUGGUCCCUGGACUAAGACCAAACUUUAC